UGGGGAAUAUUGCACAAUGGGCGCAAGCCUGAUGCAGCCAUGCCGCGUGUAUGAAGAAGGCCUUCGGGUUGUAAAGUACUUUCAGUCGGGAGGAAGGUGUCAAGGUUAAUAACCUUGGCAAUUGACGUUACCGACAGAAGAAGCACCGGCUAACUCCGUGCCAGCAGCCGCGGUAAUACGGAGGGUGCAAGCGUUAAUCGGAAUUACUGGGCGUAAAGCGCACGCAGGCGGUUUGUUAAGUCAGAUGUGAAAUCCUCGGGCUCAACCUGGGAACUGCAUCUGAUACUGGCAAGCUUGAGUCUCGUAGAGGGGGGUAGAAUUCCAGGUGUAGCGGUGAAAUGCGUAGAGAUCUGGAGGAAUACCGGUGGCGAAGGCGGCCCCCUGGACGAAGACUGACGCUCAGGUGCGAAAGCGUGGGGAGCAAACAGG
rnacentral:rRNA from 1 species